rnacentral:lncRNA from 1 species
CAAGCCCUUAGCAUAUCAUUAUUUCAUAAGAGAUUGAAACAUACGGAAAUAUUUAGAACUUUAACAAUCAAUGUCAACCUCUUUCAUAUAUUAAAUAGAGCAUCUAGACUUGUCUUAUUAACAAUCUUGGUUCAAACAUAAGAAUCUCAACAUAGGGACCUUAGCCCUUACAAUCAAAAGUAUCCAUAUAAGAAGUGCAAUAGUAGUCUAGUACAAAAAUUAAAGAAAGAAACAUAUUGGUAUCAUGUUGUCCUCAAAGCUUGAGAACAAACCAAUUGGUCUUGAAGAAUGUUAUCCAAGCAUUUUCUUCUUCUACAAUAAGACCUACUAGCCCAAACCUACACUUGGUAGAAAAACAAGAGAAAUAUGGGUUAGUACGUUCCACUUGUACUAAGUAUGAAAGUUAUGCAAUUAAAACCAUUAUAACAUGCAAAAAGGACCUUUAGUUCAAACCAUGCUAUUUCAAGUUAAAAUUCAUAAUGCACAUUUUAAUAAUACACAAUCAAUCCAUAGCAUAAUAUAAAAAGAGAUUUAAGAUUACAAGCAACAUUAUAAUAAAAACCACCUUUCAUAACAUACAUUAUUGAUUUCAUUUGAUCAUUAUAUCAUAAGACUUUGCACACUACCCCCUUUUUAAGACUACUAGUGCAAUAUAGAUAUGAGGCCUCAUACCCCAAAACAUAUCAAACAAACACUAAAGAGAAAGCAAGCAUCACCACAUACUUCCUUUAUUCUUGUUUUUAUCAAUCAAGAAACAUUGACAUAAUCAACAUACACCAUGUGAGAUACAUGGAAUCUGGUUUCAACCCCUCACAGUGAUGGGAGGAUGUCCUACUUGAUAAUGUAGGGCAUAACAUUAAUGAUAAUAUAUAAUACACUAGCUAAAACUUAUGUGGGCUUCAUAAUUGAGGGAUAUAAAGAUUAUUACUACAAAACCUCUGUUUACUUAAUUGUAUUAUAGUUUCAAUCUCAUAAAAUCAUUCAAAGAACCUUCCUUUUAUUCAGAAUGAACCUAUCUCAUGCAUAUCCUCUCAGUGCUAAGCUUGAUUCCGUUUUUAGGUAACCUUUAGCAUUUAUUUAAGCAAUAAUUUAUAAAGAAUAUCUUAAGGAUUUAAUGCCUCAUAUAUCAUUAACUCAACUCUUAAAAUAUAAGAAGACCAUUCAUCAUAGAACCAACAUCAUGUGAGAAUAUUUCUUUCUUAACAUAGUAAUUUUAGGGUGCAUGAGAAUUACCUUCAAUUCAACAUAACAACACAAAUGUUAUUAUCUCACAAAAUUCAUAUCCAUAUAAUAGCAUAACAUUCGUGACACAUCAUACAUGCUUGAUCAAGCUUAAGGCUAAAGGGAAGAGGAAAAAUAAUUCUACUCCACAAUACAUAACCAAGUAAUUAUGUUCAUCACAAUUGAACCAACAAUUCAAUACAAUAAUACUCAUCACCUUGAAAUCCCUUGCUUAUAGCCUUCACGAAUUUACCCAACUUCCUUUUCAUACAUUAAUAAUGUAUAUGAAUAAUACAAUACACAUAACGAAUUAUAAAAGAACAUUGUUCAUUCUCAUCAUUUAAUCACUGUCAACCACAACUAGGGUUUAUAAUUUAUAAAGAAUGGAGGUACCUGGGUCUUGGGUUAUUUAAUUUGAAAACCAUAACAUUAAUUUUAUUCAUCCAUUAAAAAAUCAAAUAUAUUCAUAAUUAAUCAAUUUAGAUCAAUGAAAAAAAGUUUAGAAAGAGAUCCAUGUGAUUGAUUGAAAACCUAGAAAUUGGGGAUUUUUGAAAUCUAACAUUGAAGAGCCUCUUGUCAAAGGAUGAUAACAUUGAAGAGCCACCAUACCUAAUGGAAUAUUCACCAUGAAACUUUGUUGAAAACCUUGGAGCUUGAACCUUGUCUAGAUGCUUGAUUUCUUUUCAAUGGUAAAACUUGGUAGACAGAGAGUUUUGAGGGAAAUGAGAGAUUUUUAUUUCAAUUUGGG